rnacentral:rRNA from 1 species
UCCUACGGGAGGCAGCAGUGAGGAAUAUUGGUCAAUGGGCGAAAGCCUGAACCAGCCAAGUCGCGUGAGGGAAUAAGGCCCUAUGGGUCGUAAACCUCUUUUGCCGGGGAGCAAGAUCGGGGACGUGUCCCUGAUUGGAGAGUACCCGGAGAAAAAGCAUCGGCUAACUCCGUGCCAGCAGCCGCGGUAAUACGGAGGAUGCGAGCGUUAUCCGGAUUUAUUGGGUUUAAAGGGUGCGUAGGCGGGCUCUUAAGUCAGCGGUAAAAUUGCGGUGCUCAACGCCGUAGAGCCGUUGAAACUGGGAGCCUUGAGUGAGCGAGAAGUAGGCGGAAUGCGUGGUGUAGCGGUGAAAUGCAUAGAUAUCACGCAGAACUCCGAUUGCGAAGGCAGCUUACCGGCGCUCAACUGACGCUGAGGCACGAAAGUGCGGGGAUCGAACAGGCUUAGAUACCCUGGUAGUCCGCACAGUAAACGAUGGAUGCUAUCUGUUCGGGGAGAAUGAUUCCUGAGCGGAACAGCGAAAGCGUUAAGCAUCCCACCUGGGGAGUACGCCGGCAACGGUGAAACUCAAAGGAAUUGACGGGGGCCCGCACAAGCGGAGGAACAUGUGGUUUAAUUCGAUGAUACGCGAGGAACCUUACCCGGGCUCAAACGUCAGAGGGCGACACCCUGAAAGGGGAGUCUCCAGCAAUGGUCUCUGACGAGGUGCUGCAUGGUUGUCGUCAGCUCGUGCCGUGAGGUGUCGGCUUAAGUGCCAUAACGAGCGCAACCCCUACCGACAGUUGCUAACUGGUAAAGCUGAGGACUCUGUCGGGACUGCCGGCGCAAGCUGUGAGGAAGGCGGGGAUGACGUCAAAUCAGCACGGCCCUUACGUCCGGGGCGACACACGUGUUACAAUGGCAGGUACAGCGGGAAGCCACCCGGCGACGGGGCGCGGAACCUGAAAACCUGUCUCAGUUCGGAUCGGAGUCUGCAACUCGACUCCGUGAAGC